rnacentral:rRNA from 1 species
CCUACGGGUGGCAGCAGUGAGGAAUAUUGCACAAUGGGCGACACCCUGAUGCAGCGACGCCGCGUGAGUGAAGAAGUAAUUCUUUAUUUUAAGCUCUAUCAGCCGGGAAGAAAAUGCCGGUACCUGAGUAAGAAGCCCCGGCUAACUACGUGCCAGCAGCCGCUGUAAUACGUAGGUGGCACGCGUUAUCCGGAUUUACUGGGGUUAAAGGGAGCGUAGACGGCAGUGCAAGUCUGGAGUGAAAGGCGGGGGCUCAAACCCCGGACUGCGCUGGAAACUGGAGGGCUGGAGUGCAGGAGAGGUAAGUGGAAUGCGUAGUGUAGCGGUGAAAUGCGUAGAUAUUAGGAGGAACACCAGUGGCGAAGGCGGCUUACCGGA